GAUUUUGUGGCUUCUCCAAUUACUUUUCCCCGUUGAUUUUGUUUUCAAUUCGAUUUUUGUUCCUCUAAAGAUUGAGGUUGAUCUCAAGUGUGAUGAGCAUCUUACCUACUUCGGGGGCCAGAAAAGAAGCAAGUCUUUUCUCAUAUUGUUAUUAGUUAUUAAACUCUGUGGUUUGACUGUUUGCUUCCAUUUAUGGACACUUGUAGCAUUAGAAGGAACUAGAUCCUAUUUUUUAACUGGCCAAUUGACCAUUAUUUUUUAAUUUUUCAUUCAAGAACUUUUUGGCAAUUUAAUUGAAGAAGAUAUUAAAACAGUAGAUCCUACAAUAGGUUGUAGUUUCAAUAAUUAUGGAUUACAGGUGAUAACGUUUCAUGCUUGAUUUAAUUAUUGAUUCCUUGGGUUUCUUUUAUGACUCUUCCUUCCAGCAGUUGCAUCUGGGACAUUUUUUAUGUGCUGUUAAUUUUUAUACCAGUAAAGCUUAGUAGAGGAUUUAGUUGUUUGAGCUGAUGAUGAGUAAAAUGCGUUUGCUAUGAUUGGGAGAGUUUUCUGUGAUGUUACCCCACAUCACUUAGAUGCUGCGUAGCUGAGGAAGCAAGGCUGAAAAGCAAACAAGCCAAGCUAAAACAUCUUAAUUUCUAAGUGGCUAUCUUUUUGCAAAAAGAAACCUGCAUACUUCAGGGAAGAUGUUUAAUUAGGAAAUAUCAGAUAUUGGAUCUGAAUCCGGGGCCAGAAAGCAUCUUUAUAUUCUGUUUACUUUGCUGCCAAAGCUUUUCGAUGAAUAUGUCCUCCGCCUCCUCCCAUCCUCUUCUCUUUUAACAUUUGUUUGAUGUUGCUCUUUGUUUUUAAUUUGCAGGUUAUUUUCAUAACCUAGCUCCUGCCAAGGUCUGUAUAUAUUUAAUCUCUUGUCUGCAUUUUAGCUUUUCUAUAUGCUUAUUGCUACCUCUUUUCAUGCUUAUUAGCUUUUCUAUAUGAUAUGAACCAUCUCUAUCUUUCUUUUUUUAACUUUUUAUCAUAGAAUAUAUUUUUUCCUUGGUCGUGAAAAGACUCAUGUUUAUUUAUGUGUUAACAACCUUAUUUUGUUACAGGCAUUUAUUCUGGGUGUUUCUGCCAUUCCAGUUAUUACCUCAGUUUCGAUAUGAUAUAGAGGAAUUCUUUUAUAGAGCGGUCAUUGCUUUAUGCAUGAUUUGGAGUUUGACAGAUCAUUCUCUAUGAUUUUAUCUCUAUAAUAUAUGUCUUCAUAUCUAAAUUAAUCAAAUGGAGUUUGACAGCAAAACUAGAAAAGUGGAAAGCGAAUAAUCAUAAAUUUGAUAUAUUUCCCUCACUGUGAUUUUUUCUUGCUUGAUACAAAUUUUUUAAUGGUUUCUCUUUCAUUGAGUUUAAGAUUUUCUCAAUGAAGCCCUUGAGAUGUGUAAGGGAGGGUAAGAUUCAAGGAACACAUGAUUGACCCUAGAUUUAUUGAGCUGUUAUUUUG
rnacentral:lncRNA from 1 species